rnacentral:rRNA from 1 species
ACUGCUCAGUAACACGUGGAUAACCUGCCCUAAGGAAGGGGAUAACCUCGGGAAACUGAGGAUAAUACCCUAUAGGUUACAGAUGCUGGAAUGCCCUGUAACCGAAAGCUCCGGCGCCUUAGGAUGGAUCUGCGGCCGAUUAGGUUGUUGUUGGGGUAACGGCCCAACAAGCCGAUAAUCGGUACGGGUUGUGGGAGCAAGAGCCCGGAGUUGGAUUCUGAGACACGAAUCCAGGCCCUACGGGGCGCAGCAGGCGCGAAAACUUUACAAUGCGGGAAACCGUGAUAAGGGAACCCCGAGUGCCUGUAUAUGCAGGCUGUCCAGGUGUCUAAAAAACACCUGAAGAAAGGGCCGGGCAAGACCGGUGCCAGCCGCCGCGGUAAUACCGGCGGCUCGAGUGGUGGCCACUUUUAUUGGGCUUAAAGCGUUCGUAGCUGGGUUGUUAAGUCUCUUGGGAAAUCUGACGGCUCAACCGUCAGGCGUCCAAGGGAUACUGGCAAUCUUGGAACCGGGAGAGGUGAGGGGUACUUCGGGGGUAGGAGUGAAAUCCUGUAAUCCUCGAGGGACCACCUGUGGCGAAGGCGCCUCACCAGAACGGCUUCGACAGUGAGGGACGAAAGCUGGGGGAGCAAACCGGAUUAGAUACCCGGGUAGUCCCAGCCGUAAACGAUGCGCGUUAGGUGUAUCGGUGACCACGAGUCACCGAGGUGCCGAAGGGAAACCGUGAAACGUGCCGCCUGGGAAGUACGGUCGCAAGGCUGAAACUUAAAGGAAUUGGCGGGGGAGCAC